GACGAACGCUGGCGGCGUGCUUAACACAUGCAAGUCGAACGGAAAGGCCCUGCUUUUGUGGGGUGCUCGAGUGGCGAACGGGUGAGUAACACGUGAGUAACCUGCCCUUGACUUUGGGAUAACUUCAGGAAACUGGGGCUAAUACCGGAUAGGAGCUCCUGCUGCAUGGUGGGGGUUGGAAAGUUUCGGCGGUUGGGGAUGGACUCGCGGCUUAUCAGCUUGUUGGUGGGGUAGUGGCUUACCAAGGCUUUGACGGGUAGCCGGCCUGAGAGGGUGACCGGCCACAUUGGGACUGAGAUACGGCCCAGACUCCUACGGGAGGCAGCAGUGGGGAAUAGUGCACAGUGGGCGGAAGCAUGAUGCAGCAACGCCGCGUGCGGGAUGACGGCCUUCGGGUUGUAAACCGCUUUCGCCUGUGACGAAGCGUGAGUGACGGUAAUGGGUAAAGAAGCACCGGCUAACUACGUG
rnacentral:rRNA from 1 species